rnacentral:tRNA from 1 species
GCCCGCCUAGCUCAAUCGGAUAGAGCGUCAGACUUUUACGGUCUCCCUAAGGGCGGAGUGUAAUCUGAAGGCUGCGAGUUCGACCCUCGCGGUGGGCU